GCCUGUGCUACAGACCUAUUUAUGUGUAAGAGUGUUCGAGACUAAAGUAAAGCAGUUCCUCCCAGACGUUAUCUUGUUGAUGCCGAUCCAAAGACGAACCUUCCAGUAUCUCUGAUAGUAACUCCCAUAAGUAAUGUUCUGAUACAGGCCCGCUAUUACUCAUAGCGCGAGUGCCUUAUGGCAGAUUUAAUGUUAUUUGAAAGAAGAAGUUGAAGGUGAAGUUUAUGUCUAAGAAGACAGGUCAGGUUAAGUGGUUCAACGAAAGCAAAGGUUUUGGUUUUAUUGAACAGCAUGAUGGCGGUAAAGAUGUGUUUGUUCACUUCUCCGCGAUCGCAACUGAUGGUUUCAAAACCUUGGCUGAAGGCCAGCGUGUUGAGUAUACCAUCCAAGACAGCCCGCGCGGGCCGGCUGCUGCAAACGUUGUUGCUCUGUAAUUUAAGAGAAAG
rnacentral:sRNA from 1 species